UUGACGUAUCCAUCCAAAUACAAAAUUUUAACAAAAGACAUACAUUUAACAAACGAAUUUAAUUAAUUUCACCAUAUAAAAACAUUAUUGAAUGUAAACACAUUGGGGCUUCAUACUAAUUGUGUAUAGAAUCGUCAACACAACGGAGUGUUGCGGUGAACGAGUUGACGCAACGCGCAUGUGCCGGGCUAUUUCUAUUGGUGUGCGGCGUGACAUCAUCGUGACGUAGACACAUCUUAUGCUAACGGAUGAGGAUAUCCCCGCCGAACGUUGCUUGCGACUUUCUGCUAUCUGUUAUCUUUUUAAAUUGUGUCUGUGACUAACGUAACAAAACGUAGAUACCUGCUUCUUUUGAAAAUUAAAAUUUUACGCUGACUUAUUAGGGCCGGAAAUUAUCUAUUACAAGGUUACACAUGGACGUCUUACACAUAUUUAGGAAUAGGUGACUGAAAAUACUAAUCACAAGAUAUAGUUAAGUUUACGAUAUCGUGACUCGGUAACCUUUGCUAUUGCAAAUAUGAUGAGGUAUGUUACCUUCGCAUCUUUUAAACUAAGUAAUACAAAAAAUACUAGGUAGAUAAACCUUUGCAAAUAUGUACCUAUAUUGUAUACUAUUGUAGUAUUUAUACAUAUCUCAAGAUCAUGAAGUAAGGCAUAAGGAACGGUGGCAAUCGACCUCGCAUUGCUCUCACACCACAACCUCACCGAGUCAGUCGUUUGUGGAAGACUGCGUUUGUGCGUUCUCAGAAGGCGUUACAAUUUCUAAGAACUGGAGACAAUCAAGCCGCUCCACUCGUUUAAGAACGAGCUAGCGAAUAAAUUUCACGGAGCCUACGCACUAAAACACACAAGCGCUUGAACCGGAGUUUCUCAGUUCUGCUUCGUACAGUACAUUUCGCGAUAACUAGUACCAGUGGUACAUAAUAUAUACUGAGAUGUAUCUCAUGUUUAUAUUUUUUAUUUAUUUAUGAAAUACAAUGAAUUAAGUAUAGAUAACUAGCCAUGAGCUCAAUAAAAUGUUGUUUAUGAGUGGGUCCACCUGUAUCGUAACGUAACAAUGCAAUGUAACAUGUCGAAGCGAGUGUACAUUGAGAGUAGAGAGUCAAGUUAAGGCCGAGGCAGUCGGACCUGGUGGGGCGCGGGCGGCGGCUCAGCGCACUAGUGUUGUAAUGAGACAAAGGAAUCCCGGCGGUCGGCUGCCGCCCGCCGGCCUGGCGCCACGCCAGGCGGCCCUGGCGACGCUUGUGUCGGCCGUCAGCCUGCAUUGCCCCUACCUAUCCAAUUCCAAUCGGCAAGAAGGUAUACAACACCACGCUGUUCUGCAAUAUACGGAUUACUCUAAAAGAUUCGCAAAAGAAGAUACACCGCAUC